UACGAAGGGGGGCGAGCGUUGUUCGGAUUUACUGGGCGUAAAGGGCGCGCAGGCGGCGCAUUUUGUCAGGCGUGAAAGCCCCCGGGCUUAACCUGGGAACUGCGUUUGAUACGGAUGGGCUAGAGUUCGGGAGAGGAGAGUGGAAUUCCCAGUGUAGAGGUGAAAUUCGUAGAUAUCAGGAGGAACACCAGUGGCGAAGGCGGCUUUCUGGACGGUAACUGACGCUGAGACGCGAAAGCGUGGGGAGCAAACAGG
rnacentral:rRNA from 1 species